GGGAGCGUUCUGUAAGCCUGUGAAGGUGGCCUGUGAGGGUUGCUGGAGGUAUCAGAAGUGCGAAUGCUGACAUAAGUAACGAUAAAGCGGGUGAAAAGCCCGCUCGCCGGAAGACCAAGGGUUCCUGUCCAACGUUAAUCGGGGCAGGGUGAGUCGACCCCUAAGGCGAGGCCGAAAGGCGUAGUCGAUGGGAAACGGGUUAAUAUUCCCGUACUUGGUGUUACUGCGAAGGGGGGACGGAGAAGGCUAUGUUGGCCGGGCGACGGUUGUCCCGGUUUAAGCGUGUAGGUGUGUGUUCCAGGUAAAUCCGGUUCACUUUAACACUGAGGCGUGACGACGAGGCACUACGGUGCUGAAGCAACAAAUGCCCUGCUUCCAGGAAAAGCCUCUAAGCAUCAGGUAACAUCAAAUCGUACCCCAAACCGACACAGGUGGUCAGGUAGAGAAUACCAAGGCGCUUGAGAGAACUCGGGUGAAGGAACUAGGCAAAAUGGUGCCGUAACUUCGGGAGAAGGCACGCUGACAUGUAGGUGAAGUGAUUUACUCAUGGAGCUGAAGUCAGUCGAAGAUACCAGCUGGCUGCAACUGUUUAUUAAAAACACAGCACUGUGCAAACACGAAAGUGGACGUAUACGGUGUGACGCCUGCCCGGUGCCGGAAGGUUAAUUGAUGGGGUCAGCGCAAGCGAAGCUCCUGAUCGAAGCCCCGGUAAACGGCGGCCGUAACUAUAACGGUCCUAAGGUAGCGAAAUUCCUUGUCGGGUAAGUUCCGACCUGCACGAAUGGCGUAAUGAUGGCCAGGCUGUCUCCACCCGAGACUCAGUGAAAUUGAACUCGCUGUGAAGAUGCAGUGUACCCGCGGCAAGACGGAAAGACCCCGUGAACCUUUACUAUAGCUUGACACUGAACAUUGAGCCUUGAUGUGUAGGAUAGGUGGGAGGCUUUGAAGUGUGGACGCCAGUCUGCAUGGAGCCGACCUUGAAAUACCACCCUUUAAUGUUUGAUGUUCUAACGUGGACCCGUUAUCCGGGUUGCGGACAGUGUCUGGUGGGUAGUUUGACUGGGGCGGUCUCCUCCUAAAGAGUAACGGAGGAGCACGAAGGUUGGCUAAUCCUGGUCGGACAUCAGGAGGUUAGUGCAAUGGCAUAAGCCAGCUUGACUGCGAGCGUGACGGCGCGAGCAGGUGCGAAAGCAGGUCAUAGUGAUCCGGUGGUUCUGAAUGGAAGGGCCAUCGCUCAACGGAUAAAAGGUACUCCGGGGAUAACAGGCUGAUACCGCCCAAGAGUUCAUAUCGACGGCGGUGUUUGGCACCUCGAUGUCGGCUCAUCACAUCCUGGGGCUGAAGUAGGUCCCAAGGGUAUGGCUGUUCGCCAUUUAAAGUGGUACGCGAGCUGGGUUUAGAACGUCGUGAGACAGUUCGGUCCCUAUCUGCCGUGGGCGCUGGAGAACUGAGGGGGGCUGCUCCUAGUACGAGAGGACCGGAGUGGACGCAUCACUGGUGUUCGGGUUGUCAUGCCAAUGGCACUGCCCGGUAGCUAAAUGCGGAAGAGAUAAGUGCUGAAAGCAUCUAAGCACGAAACUUGCCCCGAGAUGAGUUCUCCCUGAGACUU
rnacentral:rRNA from 1 species